UGUUGAGGCUGUGAAGGGUACUCUUGAUGGACAGCAGGCUGAACUCCAGAUUUACUUUUCUCAAGGUGGACAAGCUGUAGCCAUCGGGCAAUUUAAAGAUCGAAUUACAGGGUCCAACGAUCCAGGUAAUGCAUCUAUCACUAUCUCGCGUAUGCAGCCAGCAGACAGUGGAAUUUACAUCUGCGAUGUUAACAACCCCCCAGACUUUCUCGGCCAAAACCAAGGCGUCCUCAACGUCAGUGUGUUAGUGAAACCUUCUAAGCCCCUUUGUAGCAUUCAAGGAAGACCAGAAACUGGCCACACUAUUUCCCUUUCCUGUCUCUCUGCGCUUGGAACACCUUCCCCUGUGUACUACUGGCAUAAACUUGAGGGAAGAGACAUCGUGCCAGUGAAAGAAAACUUCAACCCAACCACCGGGA
rnacentral:sRNA from 1 species